rnacentral:rRNA from 1 species
GACGAACGCUGGCGGCGUGCUUAACACAUGCAAGUCGAACGGUGAAGCACCUUCCUUUUGGUGGGUGUGGAUGAGUGGCGAACGGGUGAGUAACACGUGAGUAACCUGCCCCCUUCUUCUGGAUAACCGCAUGAAAGUGUGGCUAAUACGGGAUAUUCUGGGUCUGUCGCAUGGCGGGCCUGGGAAAGAUAUUGUUUCGGUGGGGGAUGGGCUCGCGGUCUAUCAGCUUGUUGGUGGGGUGAUGGCCUACCAAGGCGGUGACGGGUAGCCGGCCUGAGAGGGUGGACGGUCACACUGGGACUGAGACACGGCCCAGACUCCUACGGGAGGCAGCAGUGGGGAAUAUUGCACAAUGGGCGCAAGCCUGAUGCAGCGACGCCGCGUGAGGGAUGGAGGCCUUCGGGUUGUAAACCUCUUUCGCCAGUGAAGCAGGCCUGUCCCUUUUGUGGGUGGGUCGACGGUAGCUGGAUAAGAAGCGCCGGCUAACUACGUG